GGGUGGUGAAGCUGCCUGGGAGGAGCGGAGUCUGUUCCUUUCCUGGCCGCGGAGAAAGCACAUGGUCCUCCUGCAGUUUACUGUGUCUGGCUAAAAGAAACCAGAAGAAGUGAAGCUUCAUUUUCCCUGGUGAGACCAGACCUACAGAACAAAUGAAAGAGGUUUAAAUGCAUGCAACCACAGAGAUGGGAUGGCUCAGCAACUCCUGUUUGUCUGACAAGAAGAGAUACCUUUGUCCAAUGCCAGAUGUAAAUAAUUUGUUUGCUACUGAAGAAGUAUUCAUCUUGGCACUGGCCAGCAGGGCCUGUCUAGUGCCAAGAGUGAUUUCAGGAAACCCAGCAGAAUUGAGGCAGAGUUUCCUGGGAAUUAUGAUCCAGAGAAGAGCUGAGGGGCCACCUACUGCCCAGGAUCCCCAGAAUGGACAGCAAGGCAGGUGGGAUGGAAGUUCAUGGACACAAGCCAUGAGAUCCUUCUUAAUACUCAUCAGGGUAUGGGGGGUGCAAAACCGUCCUCCAAAUCGUAAUGGUUGAUUUUUAUGCAAGCAAAAAUUAAGGGUAUAUGAAUGUCAUUGUACUGAUCUGCAUGUCCCAUCCUGCUGAACUAAAUGAAUCUAAUAAGGACUUCUGUCCUUAC